rnacentral:snRNA from 1 species
ACGAGAACAGAAAUCUCGU